AUACGAAGGGGGCUAGCGUUGUUCGGAAUUACUGGGCGUAAAGCGCACGUAGGCGGAUAUUUAAGUCAGGGGUGAAAUCCCAGAGCUCAACUCUGGAACUGCCUUUGAUACUGGGUAUCUUGAGUAUGGAAGAGGUAAGUGGAAUUCCGAGUGUAGAGGUGAAAUUCGUAGAUAUUCGGAGGAACACCAGUGGCGAAGGCGGCUUACUGGUCCAUUACUGACGCUGAGGUGCGAAAGCGUGGGGAGCAAACAGGAUUAGAAACCCCGGUAGUCC
rnacentral:rRNA from 1 species